UACGUAGGGGGCAAGCGUUGUCCGGAAUUAUUGGGCGUAAAGCGCGCGCAGGCGGUGAAUUAAGUCUGAUGUGAAAGACCAGGGCUCAACCUUGGAACGGCAUUGGAAACUGGUUGACUUGAGUGCAGAAGAGGAGAGUGGAAUUCCACGUGUAGCGGUGAAAUGCGUAGAGAUGUGGAGGAACACCAGUGGCGAAGGCGACUCUCUGGGCUGUAACUGACGCUGAGGCGCGAAAGCGUGGGGAGCAAACAGG
rnacentral:misc_RNA from 1 species